AUGUAAGAACAUUGAUUGGGACUUGCAAUCGUCGCGUUGAAUUGAUUGAUGUUGAACCCGGAAAAUAUUGGCAUGUGUCUAUUAUGGGAAGGGUAAGCCAAAAGACCCGAACAAUUUCUUUAAAAUGUUCACAAAUGAAGUCCAAGAGGUUUUCGCCAGCGGUGGUAUCCAUUUCAAGAAUCAUUUAGUAAAAAUAAAAUUCAGAUGCUUCAUAGCUGAUGCUCCGGGUUGAUACCUUGGAGGUAUUUAAGAGUUUGAAGAAGAUCCUGAAAGACAACGAUCUCUAAGACACUAUCUUAUUAACGUUGGUGGUGUCACAGCUAGAGAUGCUCUCAACCAAUUUCUGAAGGAAGCCAUGACGGAUAGCCUGACACAAAAAUUCUCUUGGACUGGAAAGUCUGUUUCAGAUAAAGAGAAUCUCCGACCGUUAUUUAAUACCUGUAUCGGAAAGGUAUUUUUUGAUGCUUUACGUGAGUGUUGAACAAUACCACAGCCACAUGAUCGUACAGAAUUUGCGAGACUGAUGCAAGAGGCAAUUCGGGGCGCAC